GUUUAUAUCAUAUCUCAAGCUUGGUCCGCGUUAGGGUGCUAGAUGCGAGUUAUAUAGCGCUAUCGACACUACCGAUGUUUGGCCGAUAUCGAGCCGCAAUCGAUAGUGACCCAACCACUAGGCGUCGGAGGUCCGCAACGCCUACUGUUUUGGGUGAGCGAUGAAACAGCAAAUCGAAAACGCACGAGUGGAUUCUAUCCUUAAUAAUUAAGAUAUUUAAUAGGAAAAUUAAUAGGAUAUUGACAUCUCCAGGCAAUAUCUGCAGAGCGAAAUUGCCAGUCAAGAAAUGGACCCAUUGUUAUGGAUUAAGGUGAAUCAAACUGAUUUUCCCUGCAUAAAUGGCCUGUUUUGCAAAUACCUUUGCAUUCCUGCUACAUCCGUAGAAUCGAAAAGAGCGUUCAGCAAGGCAGGGCAAAUUGUUUCUGAGAGACGUACCCGGCUUAAAAAGGAAAAUAUUAACAUACUCUUAUUUUUAAAUAAAAAUUUUUAGUUAAACUAU